rnacentral:lncRNA from 1 species
AAAAGUGAAGCAGCUAUAAGUGGGGUUCCAAAAUUGGACGAGAGCUCCGAAUAAGCAUGUCUACCUUUACCUCGAGUAAAUAGGGCAAGUCUCCGUAAUUAUGAGAAAAUAACUGCUUGAUUUCGUCGUUCCAACUAUUCCAUAUCUCUUUUGAAUUCUUGCAAGUCAUUCUGAGUCACACUGAUGCGAGUAAAAUUCCACAAUUCUGACUCGUACCCCUCAGUCAAACUAUCACCUUUUUCUUGCGCGUCAUCUUGGACCAUACUCGGACAGCCGCAUUGUCCUCCACUCUAUCAAGAAACCCUUUUUUCAUGCUAAACUAUUCUAUUUAGUAGCCGA